rnacentral:lncRNA from 1 species
GGAGGCAAGCCAGGCGCCGGGGGGGGGGCCCCCCCCCCCCCUCCGGUAACCGGGGAGGGGAUGGCGGAGAGAUGGGGGGGGGGCGGCUUUGUUCGGGGCUCGGCCGGGCGCGUGCCUGUGCGCGUCCGCGUGCCCCCGUGCGUGUGCCCGAGCCGCCGGCUGUGCGCACACGCGUGUGCCCCAGGGAUGGGUGCGACCCCNNNNNNNNNNCACACCCCGCGUGGCCUCGUGCCCAUCUGGGUGUGGGUGCCGUGCGCAGGGUGAGGGUGCAGGGUACCCAGCUGGCAGCCCCUGCCCUGCCUGGGGCACGGCUCUGACAGCCCCGAGACCACCGUUGUGCUCUGCAGCCCCCCAGACCCUCAGCACCCACAAAGGUGCCGCUGCCAGGGGUCAAGGAUUGGGUGGGCACGGAGAGGAGGGGGCUGGUGGUGCCCCCAGGGUGGCUGCAGCCUGCCCGCGUGCCUGGCCCAAACGGGUGCCCUCGCCCCACGCCGUGCCGAGCAGCCCCGGUGCUCUGCCAGGCACCCAUGGAUGCUCUCGAGAUGCUCUCCCUCCGCAGGGUCUCCAGGCCACGUCCCCGCAGCCCCGGGAGCUGCAGCAGCACCUGAAUCCCGCUCCUGGCUCAACCACGCCGGGGGAAGGCUGGCGUUUGUGGAUUAGCAU